rfam:Salmo salar isolate Sally breed double haploid chromosome ssa12, whole genome shotgun sequence.
AUGGAAUCAUUUUGUAAGUCGCUCUGGAUAAGAGCGUCUGCUAAAUGACUUAAA